GACGAACCGUCCAAACGUUAUUCGGAAUUACUGGGCUUAAAGGGUUCGUAGGCGGCCUUGUAAGUGAGAUGUGAAAUCCCACGGCUCAACCGUGGAAGUGCAUUUCAUACUGCAAGGCUUGAGGGAGACAGAGGUAAGCGGAACUGAUGGUGGAGCGGUGAAAUGCGUUGAUAUCAUCGGGAACACCGGUGGCGAAAGCGGCUUACUGGGUCUCUUCUGACGCUGAGGAACGAAAGCCAGGGGAGCGAACGGG
rnacentral:rRNA from 1 species